CUUCAUUACGGUGGCGGCACAGUGAUUACACACCCUUUUCCCUCCGAGAGCGUAAGUAUUCAGGGAAGCAUCUCCGAGGAUCUCCUGGGAGGACUGUCCCUUGUCCUGGGAGAAGCAGCGGCACGGCCCCCGGUCCCGCCCCCGUGGAGGCACAAUCACCUGUGUUUACCGGCGACCAGUUUUGGAGAUAAGGAGCCACGUGUCCGCCCGGCACCAGCCGCCUCCUCCAAGGCAGGCGUGGGUUCUAGGAGGAGCCGAGGAGGAGGACUGCCGGCCGCCCCCAGGCCUCUCUUCCCGGGCGGGGGCCGCGGGCCGUGGUUCCCACGCGUCACAAGAGCGAACACCCCGGCUCUGCCUGGUGAGAUGGGGGCCUCGGUGUUGGGGGCGGGGGGUCAUUUAAACCCGCCUCCGCUUGGAAAGAUUCUGCUUUGUUCCGUGUGUGUGCUUACUGUUCUAAUCUAGCAAAUGUUUCCCAUUUAAGUCUCGGGUAAAAGUUUCCUAACAGAAAAUUACACAGAAAGCUGGAAAGUGAA